CAGCCAGCCAACACGCAGCACACCAGGCACCUGAAAUCAAAGCGGCUAAAUUGAAUUCAGCCAUCAAUAAUUCCAUUAUUGGCACCUGUGCUUUUUCGACCAUGACAAGUCAAGAGGUGUUCUGUGGAAGGAAAGGCCGCCGUUAUCCAAAACACGGUCGAAUUUGAACAAGCACACCAAAAGGACAAGGCGCGUUCAAGUGCGCAGCGUCCCUUUCACACACGUCACCUUCACAUCCCGUCGCGACGACCAGCAGGAGUACUUCUGAAACAUGCAACGUGCGCCUCUAUACAAACGAUGAGCCAUGACACGUCGGUAACGCGUGCACUUACCCGUUCUCCACCGACUCCGGUGCGCUGCGCGCGCUGGUUCCACCGUCUGCAAACGGAGCUGUUUCCUGGCGCAGUUUUUUUUGUUUUGUUUUUUUUCCCCCCCAAACGCACGCAGCGUCAACGCUUCUUUGCUGCUGCUUCCAGCUCCAGCCACGCUGCUCCCGACCGAGUCACCAUCCGGAGGCGUGGCCGCGGCGGGAGGAGCGGGCCGGCUGACCACGUGCCGCUCCGCGAGUCAUGUUUUGCGUUGGAUGAUGAAUAAAAGGAGGUGAUGGUUGGCAACCGACAAACAAACUAAAGAGUCACGCGUGAACGUGUUGAUGCUACUCUGAAAAAAACGCAACAACAAAAGAAAAAAUUUACUGAAAAAAGUUAAUUUGUUGUAAAUGCGUCUCAACCACCUGUCGCGGGAAUGCACAUACGUUGAGUGAGUAGAGCUGACAAACUGAACAUGUUGCAAAAUUAUUUGGCUAUUUAAUGUUUAAUUAAUGUUGCUUAAGAUGUUGAAGCCACUACAACCACUCUGACAUGGUUGUGUCUUCAUAAAUGUAUUACAUUACACACAACAUUAGUUAUAUCCCAUCAGCGAAACAACGUGAAAUUGUUUCUGUUUCAACAAUAAUAUCACAGCAUUCAUUUAUUCAGUUAUCUGCAUCCUAAAGUCGAAGAUCAGUCA
ensembl:lncRNA